UUUUUUUGAAUGAAAGGGGUCGCCCCCCUGCCGCAUUUUAUUCAAAUGAAGCAGAAAUGUCCAUCCAUACAACCUCCAGACUCAAUUAACAAACUAAGGGAAAUGAAAAAGUCCUCAAUGAAGGCAGAACCAAAAGGAACUGACCUGGAAAGAGGCAUCUCAACUACCCAUUACAUAACUGGCUCAGCUCUAAAGAUCUCCAGAUAAGAUGCAAAAAGCAGCCUGAGUCUAAGGAUAUUACAGAACCAAAUGAUCAAAUCAGAGCCAGGCUAUCCUCAACAGC
rnacentral:lncRNA from 1 species